CCUACGGGCGGCAGCAGUGAGGAAUAUUGGUCAAUGGACGAGAGUCUGAACCAGCCAAGUAGCGUGAAGGAUGACUGCCCUAUGGGUUGUAAACUUCUUUUAUAUGGGAAUAAAAUGUUCCACGUGUGGGAUUUUGUAUGUACCAUAUGAAUAAGAAUCGGCUAACUCCGUGCCAGCAGCCGCGUUAAUACGGAGGAUCCGAGCGUUAUCCGGAUUUAUUGGGUUUAAAGGGAGACUAGGUGGAUUGUUAAGUCAGUUGUGAAAGUUUGCGGCUUAACCGUAAAAUUGCAGUUGAAACUGGCAGUCUUGAGUACAGUAGAGGUGGGCGGAAUUCGUGGUGUAGCGGUGAAAUGCUUAGAUAUCACGAAGAACUCCGAUUGCGAAGGCAGUUCACUGGACUGCAACUGACACUGAGGCUCGAAAGUGUGGGUAUCAAACAGGAUUAGAUACCCCUGUAGUC
rnacentral:rRNA from 1 species